CUUACGUUUUGCACAUUUAUGGGAAAAAAGUGUUAACGUUAGAGCGUUUUAGCUGUAAAAUCUCAGUCUGUGGACACGUGUAAAUUAGCUGGUGCCAUUUUGUAUCUUCUUCUGAAUCAUGGUCUCUAUCCGUUUCGUAUAAAGGAACAAAGAUACCAGAAUUGCAAUGGUUAGUUCAACUGAUUUAAUGUCUUUUAAAGAUGGUAAACAUACAGGACGCUAACUGAAGUUGGUACAUGGUUUUCGGGCCUAGGGAAAACAUUUCUACCGUCACACAGGUCAGCAGCACUGGAAAUGCCUCGUUGCUACCAUGCUGGCUAACUUUAAUGCUAACUUUACAUUUGUAGUUUAUACAAAUUAGAAUUGUCCUAAUGUCCCCGAAAUCGUGGGAAUGUUGUUUUCUUCCAUAUACCAGACAACACCUAAUGUCUACUGGUUUUGCUUGUUUAUUGUACGAUGAUUUGUUUGUUUUUAUCAGGUCAUUAAAACGGUUGAACAGUUGACAAAAUGGUAUAUAAAUACUACGUGACCCAAAUAAAUAAUUGUCGCCGCAUCUUUGACAGCCUGGGCUCUCUGUUGUGAGAUACCCUGGCUUUUAAGUAUUUCAGAUGCUAAAUUAAAUAUCCCUGCACUUUCUCUGCUCGUCUUUCCAUGGCGUCUCAGUUUGAAUCAGGGAGGAUAAAUCAUUUGGUGUCAUUUAAAAAAAUAAAAUAAUGGGAAUGAACCAGUAGCUGCCGAUCACCUAAUUGUUCAGUAAGCGGCAGACACAAUACUGUAAGAUCCUGAAUGUAAUGGGUUUUCUCCCUUUUUCAGUUGCAAGAUGUAUGCUUAAAUGACAAGCCAUGACAAAACUACAGGACUCCAGGAUCUCUGGAUCCUAUGCCUUUUGAGGGAUCCCUGUGUGAGGCGGAUGCAGGAUGAUGGCUGUGUCAGCUGCUGCAGAAUCUCCAGAGAUGACUGCUGCUGAAACACCACACUCUGCCAGGCAGUGGAACCACAGGAGUUAAUGCAUCCUGACAAAGGAGCUCCAACAAGAAGACUGCUGCCCUCUGCAUCCAGUCAUUCUCCUGGGUAAGCGUUGGGAGAUGAAACUUGAGAGAAGAUGUCCCAGCUGUGAUGUUCACUGUUUGCAGUCUUUGUCCGACACAAUACUUUGCAGUCUCCUGGGUUAACGUUGGGAGAUGAAACGUGAGAGAAGAUGUCCCAGCUGUGAUGUUCACUGUUGAGCAGUCUUUGGCCGACAGGUGACAGGCGGCACUGCGAAGGAGAUGGCUCAUUUUCCUGAUGGAAAAACAAAUGUGCUUUUAUUUUUAUAAAUAGACUCUUUUCAUUUUAGUUUGCUGCGUCUGACUGGCAACAUUUCACAUGCACAUGGUACAUCCAGGCAGAAUGCAUCAGCUGUACAUGACAUGUAAAACGUAAUCCUGAAAAUAAAACUAUUCGACUACA